rnacentral:rRNA from 1 species
UACGUAGGGAGCAAGCGUUAUCCGGAUUUAUUGGGUGUAAAGGGCGCGUAGACGGUUUGGCAAGUUGGUUGUGAAAUCCCUAGGCUUAACUUAGGAACUGCAACCAAAACUGUUAGACUUGAGUGUGGGAGAGGAAAGCGGAAUUCCUAGUGGAGCGGUGAAAUGCGUAGAUAUUAGGAGGAACACCAGUGGCGAAGGCGGCUUUCUGGACCAUAACUGACGUUGAGGCGCGAAAGUGUGGGGAG